AUGUGCACUGGGGAAAAAAAAACAACCCCCCAGCAAAACACUUUUUUUACAGCUGGAAUAAUGACUAUUGUUGCUGCAGCCCCUUGCAGUGGGUGCUCACAAGAGCAGGUCAUGGAUGCGCUGAGCACAGAUGAGUCCAUCCCUCCUCUCCCCAUCUGUCCUCUGAACAGAGGUUCAGAUCAAGAAGUGCACAGAAGUGCUGAAGUAUUGUCCUGAUCUCAACAGAUUUACAGGCUGAGGGUGCCAUAAGAUGAGGAGCAGAUCAGCAGAGACAAAUCUUAAUCUGGUGAGUGCAGUCUGGAUGUUCAUCCAAAACUCAAGCUGAGUUACACUUCUGAGAAGAAACCAAAGCAAACAGCCUGGAUUAAUCUACAAAGGAAGGAAAAAAAAAAAAGGUAAAGUGAAAAGUAGGCUCUUGUUU
rnacentral:lncRNA from 1 species